AAUUGUUCGCAAUGGGCGAAAGCCUGACGACGCAACGCCGCGUGGAGGAUGAAGGUCUUCGGAUUGUAAACUCCUGUUGAUUGGGCCGAACACCCGCCGGGUUAACAGCCUGGCGGGCCGACCGUACCGGAUGAGGAAGCCCCGGCCAACUCGGUCCCAGCAGCCGCGGUAAUACAGAGGGGGCAAGCGUUGUUCGGAAUGACUGGGCGUAAAGGGCGCGUAGGCGGCCGCUUAAGUCAGACGUGAAAUCCCCCGGCUCAACCGGGGAACUGCGUCUGAUACUGGGUGGCUUGAAUCCGGGAGAGGGAUGUGGAAUUCCAGGUGUAGCGGUGAAAUGCGUAGAUAUCUGGAGGAACACCGGUGGCGAAGGCGGCAUCCUGGACCGGCAUUGACGCUGAGGCGCGAAAGCCAGGGGAGCAAACGG
rnacentral:rRNA from 1 species